rnacentral:tRNA from 1 species
GCCCCUGUGGCCUAGUGGUAGGGCGUUUCCUUGGUAAGGAAGAGGUCCCGCGUUCAAAUCGCGGCAGGGGCU